rnacentral:rRNA from 1 species
GACGAACGCUGGCGGCGUGCUUAACACAUGCAAGUCGAACGGAAAGGCCCUGCUUUUGUGGGGUGCUCGAGUGGCGAACGGGUGAGUAACACGUGAGUAACCUGCCCUUGACUUUGGGAUAACUUCAGGAAACUGGGGCUAAUACCGGAUAGGAGCUCCUGCUGCAUGGUGGGGGUUGGAAAGUUUCGGCGGUUGGGGAUGGACUCGCGGCUUAUCAGCUUGUUGGUGGGGUAGUGGCUUACCAAGGCUUUGACGGGUAGCCGGCCUGAGAGGGUGACCGGCCACAUUGGGACUGAGAUACGGCCCAGACUCCUACGGGAGGCAGCAGUGGGGAAUAUUGCACAAUGGGCGGAAGCCUGAUGCAGCGACGCCGCGUGCGGGAUGACGGCCUUCGGGUUGUAAACCGCUUUCGCCUGUGACGAAGCAUGAGUGACGGUAAUGGGUAAAGAAGCACCGGCUAACUACGUG